UGNNAAUAUUGCGCAAUGGGGGGAACCCUGACGCAGCCAUGCCGCGUGAAUGAAGAAGGCCUUAGGGUUGUAAAGUUCUUUCGGUAUUGAGGAAGGUUGAUGUGUUAAUAGCACAUCAAAUUGACGUUAAAUACAGAAGAAGCACCUGUAAAACNNCGUGCCAGCAGCCGCGGUAAUACGGAGGGUGCGAGCGUUAAUCGGAAUAACUGGGCGUAAAGGGCACGCAGGCGGUUAUUUAAGUGAGGUGUGAAAGCCCCGGGCUUAACCUGGGAAUUGCAUUUCAGACUGGGUAACUAGAGUACUUUAGGGAGGGGUAGAAUUCCACGUGUAGCGGUGAAAUGCGUAGAGAUGUGGAGGAAUACCGAAGGCGAAGGCAGCCCCUUGGGAAUGUACUGACGCUCAUGUGCGAAAGCGUGGGGAGCAAACAGGAUUAGAUACCCUGGUAGUCCACGCUGUAAACGCUGUCGAUUUGGGGGUUGGGGUUUAACUCUGGCGCCCGUAGCUAACGUGAUAAAUCGACCGCCUGGGGAGUACGGCCGCAAGGUUA
rnacentral:rRNA from 1 species